rnacentral:rRNA from 1 species
CCUACGGGAGGCAGCAGUAGGGAAUCUUCCACAAUGGGCGAAAGCCUGAUGGAGCCACGCCGCGUGGGUGAAGACGGCCCUAGGAUCGUAAAACCCCGUUGUUAGAGAAGAAAGUGCGUGAGCGUAACUGUUCACGUUUCGACGGUAUCUAAACAGCAAGCCACAGCUAACUACGUGCCAGCAGCCGCGGUAAUACGUAGGGGGCAUGCGUUCUCCGGAUUUAUUGGGCGUAAAGGGAAGGCAGGCGGUCUUUUAAGUCUUAUGUGAAAGCCUUCGGCUUAAACGGAGUAGUGCAUUGGAAACUGGGGGACUUGAGUGCAGAAGAGGAGAGUGGAACUCGAGGUGUAGCGGUGAAAUGCAGAGAUAUAUCGAAGAACACC